CUCGUGGCCGGCGGGGAAACCGUUACCAUUACUGAGUUUAGUAAUGGUAACGGUUCUGCUGACGACCAGGCA
rnacentral:pre_miRNA from 1 species